rnacentral:rRNA from 1 species
AUUGAACGCUGGCGGCAGGCCUAACACAUGCAAGUCGAACGCGUGGCGGACGGGUGAGUAAUGUCUGGGCAACUGCCUGAUGGAGGGGGAUAACUACUGGAAACGGUAGCUAAUACCGCAUACCAUCGGAUGUGCCCAGAUGGGAUUAGCUAGUAGGUGGGGUAAAGGCUAACCUAGGCGACUAUCACUAGCUGGGCUGAGAGGAUGACGAGCCAAAAUGGAAAUGAGACACGGUCCAGACUCCUACGGGAGGCAGCAGUGGGGAAUAUUGCACAAUGGGCGCAAGCAUGAUGCAGCCAUGCCGCGUGUAUGAAGAAGGCAUUAGGGUUGUAAAGUACUUUCAGCGGGGAGGCGUUACCCGCAGAAGAAGCACCGGCUAACUCCGUGCCAGCAGCCGCGGUAAUAC